rnacentral:rRNA from 1 species
AGAGUUUGAUCAUGGCUCAGAUUGAACGCUGGCGGCAGGCCUAACACAUGCAAGUCGAGCGGUAGCACAGAGAGCUUGCUCUCGGGUGACGAGCGGCGGACGGGUGAGUAAUGUCUGGGAAACUGCCUGAUGGAGGGGGAUAACUACUGGAAACGGUAGCUAAUACCGCAUAAUGUCGCAAGACCAAAGUGGGGGACCUUCGGGCCUCAUGCCAUCAGAUGUGCCCAGAUGGGAUUAGCUUGUAGGUGGGGUAACGGCUCACCUAGGCGACGAUCCCUAGCUGGUCUGAGAGGAUGACCAGCCACACUGGAACUGAGACACGGUCCAGACUCCUACGGGAGGCAGCAGUGGGGAAUAUUGCACAAUGGGCGCAAGCCUGAUGCAGCCAUGCCGCGUGUGUGAAGAAGGCCUUCGGGUUGUAAAGCACUUUCAGCGGGGAGGAAGGCGUUAAGGUUAAUAACCUUGGCGAUUGACGUUACCCGCAGAAGAAGCACCGGCUAACUCCGUGCCAGCAGCCGCGGUAAUACGGAGGGUGCAAGCGUUAAUCGGAAUUACUGGGCGUAAAGCGCACGCAGGCGGUCUGUCAAGUCGGAUGUGAAAUCCCCGGGCUCAACCUGGGAACUGCAUUCGAAACUGGCAGGCUAGAGUCUUGUAGAGGGGGGUAGAAUUCCAGGUGUAGCGGUGAAAUGCGUAGAGAUCUGGAGGAAUACCGGUGGCGAAGGCGGCCCCCUGGACAAAGACUGACGCUCAGGUGCGAAAGCGUGGGGAGCAAACAGGAUUAGAUACCCUGGUAGUCCACGCCGUAAACGAUGUCGAUUUGGAGGUUGUGCCCUUGAGGCGUGGCUUCCGGAGCUAACGCGUUAAAUCGACCGCCUGGGGAGUACGGCCGCAAGGUUAAAACUCAAAUGAAUUGACGGGGGCCCGCACAAGCGGUGGAGCAUGUGGUUUAAUUCGAUGCAACGCGAAGAACCUUACCUGGUCUUGACAUCCACAGAACUUAGCAGAGAUGCUUUGGUGCCUUCGGGAACUGUGAGACAGGUGCUGCAUGGCUGUCGUCAGCUCGUGUUGUGAAAUGUUGGGUUAAGUCCCGCAACGAGCGCAACCCUUAUCCUUUGUUGCCAGCGGUCCGGCCGGGAACUCAAAGGAGACUGCCAGUGAUAAACUGGAGGAAGGUGGGGAUGACGUCAAGUCAUCAUGGCCCUUACGACCAGGGCUACACACGUGCUACAAUGGCAUAUACAAAGAGAAGCGACCUCGCGAGAGCAAGCGGACCUCAUAAAGUAUGUCGUAGUCCGGAUUGGAGUCUGCAACUCGACUCCAUGAAGUCGGAAUCGCUAGUAAUCGUAGAUCAGAAUGCUACGGUGAAUACGUUCCCGGGCCUUGUACACACCGCCCGUCACACCAUGGGAGUGGGUUGCAAAAGAAGUAGGUAGCUUAACCUUCGGGAGGGCGCUUACCACUUUGUGAUUCAUGACUGGGGUGAAGUCGUAACAAGGUAACCGUAGGGGAACCUGCGGUUGGAUCACCUCCU